AUGCAGUCGACGGCAGCAUAGGAGCUUGCUCCUGAUGGCGAGUGGCGAACGGGUGAGUAAUAUAUCGGAACGUGCCCUAGAGUGGGGGAUAACUAGUCGAAAGACUAGCUAAUACCGCAUACGAUCUACGGAUGAAAGUGGGGGAUCGCAAGACCUCAUGCUCCUGGAGCGGCCGAUAUCUGAUUAGCUAGUUGGUGGGGUAAAAGCCUACCAAGGCAACGAUCAGUAGCUGGUCUGAGAGGACGACCAGCCACACUGGGACUGAGACACGGCCCAGACUCCUACGGGAGGCAGCAGUGGGGAAUUUUGGACAAUGGGGGCAACCCUGAUCCAGCAAUGCCGCGUGAGUGAAGAAGGCCUUCGGGUUGUAAAGCUCUUUUGUCAGGGAAGAAACGGUAGUAGCGAAUAACUAUUACUAAUGACGGUACCUGAAGAAUAAGCACCGGCUAACUACGUGCCAGCAGCCGCGGUAAUACGUAGGGUGCAAGCGUUAAUCGGAAUUACUGGGCGUAAAGCGUGCGCAGGCGGUUGUGUAAGUCAGAUGUGAAAUCCCCGGGCUCAACCUGGGAAUUGCAUUUGAGACUGCACGGCUAGAGUGUGUC
rnacentral:rRNA from 1 species